GAUGAAGAACGUAGCGAAAUGCGAUACGUAAUGUGAAUUGCAGAUUUCAGUGAAUCAUCGAAUCUUUGAACGCACAUUGCGCCCGCCAGUAUUCUGGCGGGCAUGCCUGUUCGAGCGUCAUUUCAACCAUCAAGCGCCUCGCUUGUGUUGGGGCCCUGCGGCUGCCGCAGGCCCCUAAAUCCAGUGGCGGGCUCGUCGUCGUACCGAGUGCAGUAAACAUCCUCGCUCAGGGAACCCGACGGGUGCCGGCCGUGAAACCCCCCCUCCUCAAGGUUGACCUCGGAUCAGGUAGGAAUACCCGCUGAACUUAAGCAUAUCAAUAUGCGGAGGA
rnacentral:misc_RNA from 1 species